GGCCAAACCUGAAUAAAAUCUGGA
rnacentral:piRNA from 2 species